UACAGAGGUGGCGAGCGUUAUUCGGAAUUAUUGGGCGUAAAGGGCGCGUAGGCGGCUUGACAAGUCCCGGGUGAAAUCCCUCGGCUCAACCGAGGAACUGCCUUGGAAACUGUCUGGCUUGAGGCCGGGAGAGGGUAGUGGAAUUCCCAGUGUAGCGGUGAAAUGCGUAGAUACUGGGAGGAACACCGGUGGCGAAGGCGGCUUCCUGGCCGAGUACUGACGCUGAGGCACGAAAGCGUGGGGAGCGAACGGG
rnacentral:rRNA from 1 species